CGUACAGAGGUUGCAAGCCGCGAGGUGGAGCCAAUCCUCAAAAGUUUGGUCUCAGUUCAGAUUGCAGGCUGCAACCCGCCUGCAUGAAGAUGGAGUUGCUAGUAACCGCAGGUCGGCUAUACUGCGGUGAAUACGUUCCCGGGGCUU
rnacentral:rRNA from 1 species